ACCAGGCUGACCCCUGUCCCAGCCACCAGGCUGACCCCUGUCCCAGCCACCAGUCUGACCCCUGUCCCAGCCACCAGUCUGACCCCUGUAUCUAGUCCGAUUCACCUGUACAGGUGUGUUUGUAUCAAUAUCGUCUCCACCCGUCUGUUCCGACAGGUUGCAUUAUAAGGAGCGUUUGGUGGCGCUGAUUAACCGUUGCAGUGCCGACCCGGCAGUCCUCUUCAGCCCGGCAGAAAUGAUGGCGGAGCUGCAGCGCUGGCACGUCACUGUGCCGACCCGGAAACCAGACGAACCAGAGCCUCUGUACGCACACCGCCUCCGCCUGACUCUGACCAAUAGCGUUCCUCUCAGGAAACAGCGACGCUUUCCACUCAACGACGCCCUCUGACCUCUGACCUCUGCUGUGGCUCCUGGAGCUCCGCCCCCUCACCUGCUGCUGAGCGACUGACUGAUUCUGCCCUCUCCUCACACAGCAGCCAAUCAGGAGGCAGUGAUCUGUGUCACCAUAGUAACCACUAACUUUAUUUCAUUGGGGACAUUUUGGAGACAAAGCCGCCAUCAGUGAAGUCCCAGGAGGUUUUCAUCUGCUGUGACAUCACUGAUAAGGUGUGUGGUCAGAACCUGCUGUGACAUCACUGAGGGGGCGUGGUCAGUCGUGUUUCCAGGCUGAAAACAGAUCAAAGUCCUCGCCUGUCUCAAUCCCAGUGACAUCAUCAGUCUGCUGUUGGACCAUGCAGCGAGCAGCCAAUCAGAGUUUCACUUUUAAAUGUUCAUGUUGGUGUCGACUGAAGCGGCUGCAGCAGGCGUUAGCUUAAUAAGCACUUUGAGACAUCGUUCUAACGAGCUAACGAUGCUAACAUGUCUCCUCUGUACUUAAGUAUCCACUUCUGCACCAGUUAGCCUUUGUUAGCAUGUGUUAAUGCAGGUAAACGUGUCUUCUGGAUGGGAGUAGAACCCUCAACCUUCUUCUGCUUUAUUUCUUUCUGCACUUUAACUGUUUGAAUAUUUAAUAAAUAAUAUCUUAAUACA